UACCAGCACCCCGAGUGGUCGGGACGAUUAUUGGGCCUAAAGCAUCCGUAGCCGGCCUUACAAGUCCUCCGUUAAAUCCAGCUGCUUAACAGAUGGGCUGCGGAGGAUACUAUAAGACUAGGAGGCAGGAGAGGCAAGCGGUACUCAGUGGGUAGGGGUAAAAUCCGUUGAUCCAUUGAAGACCACCAGUGGCGAAGGCGGCUCACUGGCCCGAUACUGACGCUGAGGCACGAAAGCGUGGGGAGCAAACAGG
rnacentral:rRNA from 1 species